rnacentral:lncRNA from 1 species
CCAUGCUCCACGCCAUUCUUGAAGCUUCCAUGCCAUUUUCUCUUUAUCCACCAUGAAAUCAAGUUUUCUUCACUUUCCUUUCCAUGUUUUCUUUUCCUUUAUUCUCCAAACUUCUUGAGCAUUAAAUUUGUAGCCUUUAACCCCAAUUUUUAGUACACCAAAACCCUAAGAGAAGAAGAAAGAAAAAGAGAGAAAGGAAGAGAAAGCUUGGUUUUGGUGAUUCAAGCAAAGAACGGUAAUAAUUCUUGUUUUUGGCUUGAGUAGUCUUUGAAAACGAGUUAGUGACUUAGAGAAAUGUCUUGUGGCAGCAAAGAUUGGCUUGAUUGGAG